rnacentral:lncRNA from 1 species
CUCUCACAGAGACCAGCAAUUAAGUAACUCCUAGGAAGACCAAGCCACGGAGUGCCAUUUCCCUCUUCACUUGACUCCUGGCUCCUCUGAGGUCCGGCUGGACAGAGGCUCCUCUGAUCACUCUGGGGUAACAGUCCUGCAGUCACUGGGUCCAAACCCGGUGGCACUCCACCCUGGUCACACUCUGCUUCAGCUUCUUGUGGAAUAAACCACAAAGUGCUGGGGGCAGGGGGUGUUGCCCUCUGGGCGGGUCUGGAGGAGACGGGGCACCCUGCACCAGCAUGAGGCCCAGCCUGGGCGCUGGCCAGAGUCCUGAGCAGGAAGGAAGAGGGUCACUGGACCCCGCAGGCCUCGUGCUGGAGAGGCCCAGCCGGCAGGGCUUACCUGGCCUCCACCAGGGGCCCCCUGACAGACUCGUGGAGGGGACCUGGGAGCCUUAAAGAAGGAUUGGGCGUGACGGCCCAAAGUGCCCAGGGUGGGCUGUGGGGGAGGUAGGACGCCAGGUCAGCAGGGAGCCCAGCGGGCUGGGAGGGAGGAUCAGACCAGAGAGCCCUCUGUGAACCAUUUUAGAACCCAAACAGGUAGCAAGAAGCCUCCUGACCUCAGCCUCAGCCCAUUGUGACGUCGCCAGCAGGGCUGGUUCCUCCACGGCCAGCGCCACCGCCCUCCGCCCUGGCCUCCUCCACCUCCCAGCCCACAGCCCAGCCCAGGCCCAUGCUUCUCUUCUCAGUUGUGCUGCUCAUCACCCACGCCACGGGGGCGGACCCAGGUAUGUGGGCUCCUCCCUGGGGCCA